UAUGACACAUUGAUAAGAAAAAAAUCCCCCACUUACAUUAAUGUCAUUUUGGCUCAUAUCUUUUCGUCACUAUGUCUUUUAUUUCGUUCUUUUUCUACUUUCAUUUAAUCUUUAGUUUGAGUAAAUUGUAUGCGUGUUUAUGAAAAUUAAACAUAACAACUAAUGAAUGAUUAUUAUUAGCACGAUCGCGACGCCUUUCGGUUGUUGGCUGGCUGGUUUUUCCUCCUUUGCUCACCAUGGCGACGCCUUUGCAGCAGAAGCUAUGGCUCUGCGAGAUGGACUGUUGCUGGCGUGGGACCAUGGCUACAAACAGGUCUCUUGCGAUGUAGACUGUGAAGACUUAGUUACUCUCCUAGUCUCCUUGACCAAGCUCACCAGGACCGUGUCCGUCUCCACCCACAGUAACGCAGUUGCAGAUUGGCUUGCUAAACAUAGACAUAGUCUCUUGAAUCCGGGUGUAUGUUCAGGCUAUUAAUCAGCCGGUGAGUGAGCUCCAGUUGCUUCUGUUGAAGGACUAUCUUGUUGUCCCGUAGUUUUCUUUCAUCUUUCAUUAAUUUUCCGAUGUAUAUUGUCCCGUAGUUUUUUUUCAUCUUUCAUUAAUUUUCCGAUGUAUAAAAAAAAUGAUUAUUAUGUAACUAAAGAAGACAGAUGUAGGCACCCAAGUUCAGACUUGACAGAUCGAGGUUUGUGUUUGUCCACCUGUACAGUGGCUCAAAAACAUAGGGAACUGUAUACUUUCCAUGACCGUAAGUAAGUAUAAGGAUGUGGGUCCCCUCUAUCUGUUAAAUUUAUUUCUCUGACGUUUUAUUUGUUUUUU